CAAAGAAUAGUUUAAAGAAAAUAAUAAUUUUGGAGAUUAUAGAUAAAGAUAUUCUUUUUCUUUGA
rnacentral:tRNA from 1 species